AUAAGUUAAGUAAGGGCGUAUGGCGGAUGCCUAGGCUCUCAGAGACGAUGAAGGACGUGAUAAGCUGCGAAAAGUUACGGGGAGAAGCACAUAUUUUAUGAUCCGUAAAUAUCCGAAUGGGGCAACCCGGCAUGCUGAAGGCAUGUCACCUAGCAAUAGGGGUAAACCCGGUGAACUGAAACAUCUAAGUAACCGGAGGAAGAGAAAACAAAAGUGAUUCCGUUAGUAGUGGCGAGCGAACGCGGAUUAGCCCAAACCAGUGUUGUUACGGCAAUACUGGGGUUGUAGGACCACGAUAUUCGAAGCUAAGUGAAUUAGAACUGUUUGGAAAGACAGACCAUAGAGGGUGAUAGUCCCGUAUAAGUAAGCGAAGAUUAGAUAGUGGUAUCCUGAGUAGUGCGGGACACGAGUAAUCCUGUAUGAAUCCACCGGGACCAUCCGGUAAGGCUAAAUACUCCUGAGAGACCGAUAGUGAACUAGUACCGUGAGGGAAAGGUGAAAAGAACCCUAAGUAAGGGAGUGAAAGAGAUCCUGAAACCGUACGCCUACAAGCGGUCGGAGCACAUUUACUGUGUGACGGCGUGCCUUUUGCAUAAUGAGCCUACGAGUUACUGUUUCUAGCAAGGUUAAAUGUUUAAGACAUGGAGCCGUAGCGAAAGCGAGUCUGAAUAGGGCGUAUAGUUAGUAGUAGUAGACGCGAAACCGAGUGAUCUACCCAUGGGCAGGUUGAAGCUGUGGUAACACACAGUGGAGGACCGAACCAGUUGACGUUGAAAAGUCUUUGGAUGACCUGUGGGUAGGGGUGAAAGGCCAAUCAAACUCGGAAAUAGCUCGUACUCCCCGAAAUGCAUUUAGGUGCAGCGUUGAGCGAAAGUUUUAUAGAGGUAGAGCUACUGAUUGGAUGCGGGGGCUUCACCGCCUACCAAUUCCUGACAAACUCCGAAUGCUAUAAAAUGUUACUCAGCAGUGAGGGCAUGGGUGCUAAGGUCCAUGUCCGAGAGGGAAAGAACCCAGACCAUCAGCUAAGGUCCCCAAAUAUAUGUUAAGUUGAAUAAACGAGGUGAAACUGCUUAGACAGCUAGGAUGUUGGCUUGGAAGCAGCCAUUCAUUUAAAGAGUGCGUAACAGCUCACUAGUCGAGCGGUUUUGCAUGGAUAAUAAUCGGGCAUAAACAUAUUACCGAAGCUAUGGAUUUGUAUUAUAUACAAGUGGUAGGGGAGCAUUGUAACCUGCGUAGAAGGUGUGCUGUAAGGCAUGCUGGAGUGGUUACAAAAGAAAAUGUAGGCAUAAGUAACGAUAAAGGGGGCGAGAAACCCCCUCACCGAAAGACUAAGGUUUCCUCAGCGAUGCUAAUCAGCUGAGGGUUAGUCGGGUCCUAAGGCGAAUCCGAAGGGAGUAGUCGAUGGAUAACAGGUUAAUAUUCCUGUACUUCUUAUAAUUGCGAUGGGGUGACGGAGUAUUGAAAGCACCGCGAACUGACGGAAUAGUUCGUUAAAGUAUGUAGCUAUAGAACCAGAUUAAGAGUUAGGUUUUGGCAAAGUACGAUAGUACCACAAAGCUUCGGCAGCGUGGAUAGUGUGCCUAAAAGCUUCCAAGAAAAACCUCUAAGCUUCAGAUUAUAAGAACCCGUACCGUAAACCGACACAGGUAGUUGGGAUGAGAAUUCUAAGGUGCUCGAGAGAUUCAUGGCUAAGGAACUAGGCAAAAUAGACCCGUAACUUCGGGAGAAGGGUCGCCACGCUUUACGGCGUGGCCGCAGUGAAAAGGUCCAGGCGACUGUUUAUCAAAAACACAGGGCUUUGCUAAAUUGAAAGAUGAUGUAUAAGGCCUGACACCUGCCCGGUGCUGGAAGGUUAAGUGGAGGGUUUAGCUUCGGCGAAGAUCUGAAAUGAAGCCCCAGUAAACGGCGGCCGUAACUAUAACGGUCCUAAGGUAGCGAAAUUCCUUGUCGGGUAAGUUCCGACCU
rnacentral:rRNA from 1 species